UUAGGGAUGAUGAAAUAAAUCAGACGGAUUCCCAUUGAUUUUAUCCGUGAUGACAAUCACCAGCUACUUCUGACCUUA